AUUGAACGCUGGCGGCAGGCCUAACACAUGCAAGUCGAACGAGUGGCGGACUGGUGAGUAAUGUCUGGGCAACUGCGCGAUGGAUGGGGAUAACUACUGGAAACGGUAGCUAAUACAGCAUAACAUCGGUUGUGCCCAGAUUGGAUUAGCUAGUAGGUGGGGUAAAGGCUCACAAAGGCGACGAUCCCUAGCUGGUCUGAGAGGAUGAUCAGCCACACUGGAACUGAGACACGGUCCAGACUCCUACGGGAGGCAGCAGUGGGGAAUAUUGGACAAUGGGCGAAAGCCUGAUCCAGCCAUGCCGCGUGUAUGAAGAAGGUCUUCGGGUUGUAAAGCACUUUUAGCGAGGAGGCGUUACUCGCAGAAGAAGCACCGGCUAACUCCGUGCCAGCAGCCGCGGUAAUUC
rnacentral:rRNA from 1 species